ACAGGUUUACCUGCAACUCUGAUUCUAGAAAGGCAAGAGCAACAGUUGGAAUGAUUCCUCAAAUCCCUCCACCAUCGAUAGAGAGAAUUGUGAUUAGGUUGCCAUAAGUUGGUGGGUGUCUGCACAAAAUAUGUUUUCCCGUCUCCAUAUUUGUGCUCUCUUCAAGGAAAGGUUGCAAAGAUUUGCAGUUCUACGAGGACGGCGAUUUGAGUCCUCAAAUUAAAUCCUGACAGUUUGAACUUCAAACAAACCAAACAACCAAAUUGCAAGCUUAUUUCAUCUAAUACGAUAUAUGGAACAUGGACUUGUAAUCUAUUAUAUUUCUCACCAGGUGACUGUUGCCAUGGAAAUAUGCCAACAUCACAAGAUACGAAAAUCAAUUAUGUACAUAACUACAGGUUUACCUGCAACUCUGAUUCUAGAAAGGCAAGAGCAACACCUGAAAUGAUUCCUCGAAUCCCUCCACCAUCGAUAGAGAGAAUUGUGAUUAGGUUGCCAUAAGUUGGUGGGUGUCUGCACAAAAUAUGUUUUCUAGUCUCCAUAUUUGUGCUCUCUUCAAGGAUAGGUUGCAAAGAUUUGCAGUUCUCCGAGGACGGCGAUUUGAGUCCUCAAAUUAAUGUACAGAACACAUAUUAAUACACUUCGGAUGAGUACUUUCGUGGCAAUGCAGGUAGUGAAGGUCUAUAGCAUUCAGGAAAAAGUCAUUACGAA
rnacentral:lncRNA from 1 species